UGUUUAUCCUCUUAAAAAGUAGCAUUCUACCAUCUCUCUAACAUGUGUUGUUUGAAGCUCACUGUUGCAAAACACCUCAUCUCUACCGACCCACCAGUACCGGGCCAAUAGGCACCAAAGCUGGUGCGACGAGGAAUGUGGGCUAGUGGAAAAGGCGUCAGCACGGGUAUUUACUAAUCCAUGACAUCGCUGAAGUUGGACCGGCAUGGAAAUAAUCCAUACCGACACUUAACUAGGCUGACACGAAUGCUUUACAUACCGGCUCACUUGGGCAUAGGUACCUCUAUAUAACUGGCCCUCGGCCAAAAUCUUAACCAUUUCUCAACCAAUCUUACUCUCUCAUACUCCC
rnacentral:lncRNA from 1 species